UCUGGACCUGCUUUUCUACUGAACUCACAAGUUCAUUACCUCACUAUCACUUUGUCUAAACAGGAACGAUGAUCACACUCUUUGUCGCGCUUUACUCUCUUUUUUCUCUCUGCACAGCUGGAAAAACUUCUGACAUCAAGGAGCUUCAUGUGAAAACAGUAAAGCGUGGAGAAAAUGUAACUAUGGAGUGUAACAUGAGCAAGGGCAAAGACAAAGAUAAGUUAGCUUGGUACAGACAGAGUUUUGGAAAAGUGCCUCAGUUUUUUGUAAGAUAUUACGGGUCUAAUAGCUACACAUUUGCUGAUGAAUUUAAAGAUAGCCGCUUCAGUAUGACUGUAAAUGACCAGAAGUUUGAUCUCAACAUUAUCGGAACGAGAGAAGAUGAUGGAGGAGAAUAUUUAUGUGGAGAAGUGGAGGGAACUGCACUAAAGUUCACAUCUGGAACACGUCUGCAAUUUGAAGGGUCCAAUGAGGGUUCAAAGAGCAGUGAUGGAGAAGGUUCCAGUUGUACUGAUCAGAUGCAUGUGCUGGUCUGGCUCUCCAUUUUUAGAGUUGGAGUUCUUGCCUUCAUGCUUCUUAUCUUUCCAAUAAUCCUGAUUGUUUUCAAAUUAAGAUCAAAUUAGAAAUUCAGAUACAAAUGGAAGAAAUACUGAUUUAAGGAGAAAACAGUGUGUUAGAUUUAACUAGAGCUACUUGCUUAUAUUGUCCGUAUAUUGGAAUGAUUUUGGUCUAACUGUAAUGUGGAGGUAUUUACCAGCCGUACUUACAGCUGCAUUUAAGGACUCCUGAGAGGCGCAGUACAAAAUCGUUCUCCCUAUUGU